rnacentral:lncRNA from 1 species
AUUGAAAUUAACUUUUAUUGUAUUCAUAUCAUACAGUAGUUCUAAUUAUAAACUUAUAUAAAAAUAAUGAAUAUUCAGAUAACAUAACAACUGAGUAUUACAUGUAACAAAACAUGUGUAAAAAUUAAAAUAAUGCCGUCUGAUAUUGUAUGUUUCUGUGGAAUACAAAUAAAAGAUAUGCCCUGCUCAAACAGUCCAUGUUUGAAAAUCUGCAAAGUCUAGGUCAAAUUUAUUUUAAAACUUAUAUCAAAACAAACAUGUGUAUUGAAUUUCUAGUUCAUGUGAGCAUAACUUCAUGGUAAAAUAACUUGAACUAUAACUAUUACCUAAAAAAAAAUUGUAAGGGUUCUGCAGAACCCAGUGUCUCGACUACUUUAUGAAUCUAACAAAUGUUUUAAUAACUACAACUGCAGACUGUAAGUUAUGUUAACUGGAAGAAGAAGUCAAUUUAUAUAAAGUAACAUACAAAAAAACAUAAAAUAUAUUUUUACAAAAUUUCCUUCUAGACACUAGCUUUUGAUCACAAAACAAGUUUCUGUUGUGUUUGGUAGAAAUCCAUGAUAGUUUCAGAAAAUUAUUAAAAUUUAAAAAAACUUUAACCACAGAGUGAAUAUUUGUGGACGCCACGGACGACAGAAUGUAGUAACCCUAUGUCUCGCUUUUUCGACAAAAGUCAAAGGCUCGGCAGCAACAUAGAACAGGAAAGAAAUAUAGAUUCCACCACUCAACAAGUGUAUUCAAUAAACGUAUUUACACGUUUGGUAUAAAGAUAUAUUUUGCCUCCGAAUGACCUUAUAUCACCUCCGAAUAACCUUUUGACGUCAAGCAACAAUCACUUUUUAGUUAUGACGUCAAAUGUUUUGAAUUAUGAUGUCAAAGUUUACGGGAACCUGUGUGAUUAUAUGUAAUGGCCGACAAAUUUGCAUACAAGUGUAAAUACGUCUAUAUUUCUCCACUCUCAACAGUGAAAUUUUAAUAUUUAAAGCGUGAGGCUUGCUGAGUUAAUCAAAAUUUAACUGUUGUGAGUGGAGAAAUAUUGUAAUACAAGAGUUAGAGCGGUAGAAUCUGUUUCUCUAAUGAUUUUUAGAAAGUUGUGUUCUAUAUAAGUGAUGUCAUCAGGCAUGGUCAUCUUUUUUUAAAUAUCCAUUGUCACGAGAGGAAAUUCAGGAAAAAAAAUGAUGUCAUAAUUAAAUUUUGACCAAUCAUUUGCUAGUGAGGAGAACAAUUUUUUGCACAAUUUGUUGGGAAAUGUGAAAAUAGAGAAAAUGAGCUCUACAAUUAAGGCAGGGUAGAUGCAAUACAAAC